rnacentral:rRNA from 1 species
AGCGAACGCUGGCGGCAGGCCUAACACAUGCAAGUCGAACGAAGCCUUCGGGCUUAGUGGCGGACGGGUGAGUAACACGUGGGAACGUACCUUUUGGUUCGGAAUAACGCAGAGAAAUUUGCGCUAAUACCGGACGAGCCCUUCGGGGGAAAGAUUUAUCGCCGAAAGAUCGGCCCGCGUUGGAUUAGGUAGUUGGUGUGGUAAAGGCGCACCAAGCCUACGAUCCAUAGCUGGUCUGAGAGGAUGAUCAGCCACACUGGGGCUGAGACACGGCCCAGACUCCUACGGGAGGCAGCAGUGGGGAAUCUUGCGCAAUGGGCGAAAGCUUGACGCAGCCAUGCCGCGUGAAUGAUGAAGGUCUUAGGAUUGUAAAAUUCUUUUACCAGGGACGAUAAUGACGGUACCUGGAGAAAAAGCCCCGGCUAACUUCGUGCCAGCAGCCGCCGUAACAC